GAAGUCAAUUAUUACUUAAUAUACACAUGCAAGUAUCCGCUCCCCUGUGAAAACGCCCUUCAACCCCCAUUAGGGACAAGGAGCCGGUAUCAGGCACAAUGUAUGCCCAAAACACCUAGCUUUGCCACACCCACAAGGGAUUUCAGCAGUGAUUAACAUUGAAUAUUAGCGCGAGCUUGAUUCAGUUAAAGUAAAAUAGAGCCGGCCAAUCUGGUGCCAGCCGCCGCGGUUACACCAUGUGGCUCAAAUUGACCCCAUUCCGGCGUAAAGCGUGAUUAAAGUCAUCUUCUAAUAGAGUUAAAUUAAAACUAAGCUGUGACACGCUUGUUUUCAAGAAAUGCCCAAACGAAAGUUACUCUAAUUUAACCAACUUGA
rnacentral:rRNA from 1 species